rnacentral:lncRNA from 1 species
CUGUGGUGGCAACACGGCAGUCUGUCCUCUCGGUCUUCUGAGCUCUAGGUCCCAGUGCCUGAGUUGAGCGACUGGCAGCCGCCUUUUCCCUCCUUGGGAGGGGCGGGGCCAUGGGGCGGGGCUCAGAGAUGGGGUUCCCAAGAUCCCAAGAGGCCCCAGCAACUGGAGCACGACAGCUGGCCCAGCCCUCGUCCUCAGGCUCAUCUCAAACUCCUGGACUGAAGUGAUCCGCCUGCCUCCACCUCCCAAAGUGCUGGAUUCCAGGCGUGAGCCAGCGUGCCCAGUGGCUUUUCUGCUUUUUUCACUGAUAAAAAAUGUUUGAUUUGCACGUUU